UCAGAGUUUUAAUGUGAUGAAAUCCAUGAUGAUGUCAAAGCAACAAAGAGAGACAUUGAAUUAGCCAUUAAAUUUGCUUAGUGUCUCAUUGUGUGCCCUUUUUUGAAUCUGUCUUUCUUAUAGGUCACACACGUUUUCAUUGCAAUGGUUUAUAGCUCAUGACAUGCGCCUAUGAUAUCUACUAGCUCAUGAAAACUUGCUAUAGCUCUAAGAUUUGAAGGAUUGCCAGAGUUUGUAUGAGCCUUGAAGGGCAUGGGACAGAUGCUACCAGUUCUGAGAUUAAGACUACUCUAAGUUAUACAGCUGAUGCAUCGAAAUUGCAUGUUGAAGGGAUGUCAAAGUCAUAUCCAGAUAUAGAAGAAGAUGUUACUGGAAAUUUGGGAUCAAGUGAGCCAAUGCAAGAAAAUGGUGUUAUUCAACAAAAAAGGGCAGUGAAAAUCCAUGAUUUUUUUUUUUGGCAUCCCUUAUGGUGGACUGGUUUUAAGUGGUGGACUUCUUGGUUUUGUUUUCUCAAGAAAUCUUGCAACUCUGAGCACUGGUGUGCUCUUUGGAGGUGCUUUGCUAGCUCUCAGCACGUUUAGCUUAAAGAUCUGGAGGCAAGGAAAAUCCAGUUUGCCCUUCAUUCUAGGACAAGCAGCACUCUCAGCGGCGCUUCUUUGGAAGAACUUUCAGAGCUACUCAUUGACAAAGAAAGUAUUUCCAACAGGUUUUUACGCUGCUAUUAGUGCUGCAAUGCUCUGCUUCUACUCAUAUGUGCUGAUCUCGGGAGGGAACCCACCACCAAAGAAAUUGAAGUCAUCUCCAAGUUUUGCAUCAUGAUGAGAACACCUAAGGUAUGAUUAUUAGAUAUGGAAGGUUAGGAUUUUGUUUGAUUUAAUGUUGUAUUGUGAAUUCAAUGGGGGUUAUUAUAGAUGAAUAAUGUUGAACAUGCUUAUUUUUAUUCGAUUACUAAUUUGAUAGAAUUAUGUAAUUUGUGUAUGGUCCCUAGUCAUAUACAUCUUGUAUACUUGUGUGACUCGGUUAUUGUUAUUGGGUGUCAAUUCUUGUUAUUAAUAAAACCUUAUUACUUAUGAAAAAUAAAUGUUGAACGAGCUUAUAUUAA